GAUGAACGCUGGCGGCGUGCCUAAUACAUGCUAGUCGAGCGAACAGACGAGGAGCUUGCUCCUCUGACGUUAGCGGCGGACGGGUGAGUAACACGUGGAUAACCUACCUAUAAGACUGGGAUAACUUCGGGAAACCGGAGCUAAUACCGGAUAAUAUAUUGAACCGCAUGGUUCAAUAGUGAAAGACGGUUUUGCUGUCACUUAUAGAUGGAUCCGCGCCGCAUUAGCUAGUUGGUAAGGUAACGGCUUACCAAGGCGACGAUGCGUAGCCGACCUGAGAGGGUGAUCGGCCACACUGGAACUGAGACACGGUCCAGACUCCUACGGGAGGCAGCAGUAGGGAAUCUUCCGCAAUGGGCGAAAGCCUGACGGAGCAACGCCGCGUGAGUGAUGAAGGUCUUCGGAUCGUAAAACUCUGUUAUUAGGGAAGAACAAAUGUGUAAGUAACUAUGCACGUCUUGACGGUACCUAAUCAGAAAGCCACGGCUAACUACGUG
rnacentral:rRNA from 1 species